AUCAUGUUCUUUAACACUGAGAGAAUAUAGUGCGAUCAAAUAUUACUAUGUACGGAGUGUCAUUGAAGGGCUGCCUUGAGUUUAGGGGAAUAGUAAGUUACGUUGAAAUCACCAGUCGUAGUGCCGAAUGCUAUAAAAACCAUUUGGAGCUUUGGAUUAUCGUUUUGGGGUUUGUUCUGUUUCGUCAUUGUCUAUUUGAAAUUGUGUAUUAUAACCUUUAAUUUUAGAUAAUUUUCAAAAACUUUGAACUUGGAAAGGAUAGAGGCUGAGGAGCUUCCUAUCAACAGUUCAAUACCGUGUGACCUUGGGAGGUCACUAGGAUGGUUGGAACCAUAUAUUUUUCCUCAUAACAAAUAAUUUAGCCAAUUACGAACAUGUUUUAUCAUCAUCGACUCAAGAUUAUCUCUACUCUUUACGUCGCUGACUAUUGAAUAAAUAUUAUCUUUUAUGACCAUGAGAUGUAUCAUUCACCAUUACAUGAGUUUGUUUUACAUUGGUUCCCAAAAAUCUUCUAAAUCGGUCCGAUUUCACGUAUUACAGCCUUUAGAAAACAUUUUUUACAAGUUAGACAUCUAGUUACUCCCCAAUUCCCAUGUUUCGUGAGGGUCCAGAUUUAUAUGUGUAUUAUGUGAGGGUUGGUUCCCUCUGAAGUUUCCCUUAGGAUAGCUGGAGCUCAUUCCAGAGUUCUAUCAGGUAAAGCCAAUGAUUAGAGGCCUCGGGGGCACAACACCCUCGACCUAUUCUCAAACUUUAAAUAGGUAGGACGGCGCGACUGCUUUGUUGAGCCGUGCCACGGAAUCGAGAGCUCCAAGUGGGCCAUUUUUGGUAAGCAGACCUGGCGAUGCGGGAUGAACCGAAAGUCGGGUUACGGUGCCCAACUACGAGCUAUCCUAGAUCCCACAAAGGGUGUUGGUCGAUUAAAACAACAGGACGAUGGUCAUGGAAGUGUAAAUCCGCUAAGAAGUGUGUAACAACUCACCUGCCGAAUCAACUAGCCCCGAAAAUCGAUGGCGCUGAAGCGCGUGACCUAUACCCGACCGUCGAGGCAAGUGUUAGGCCGCGAUGAGUAGGAGAUCGCAGCGGUCGCUGCAAAACCUGUGGCGUGAGCCAGGGCGAAGUGGCCAUUGGUGCAGAUCUUGGUGGUGGUAGCAAAUAUUCAAAUGAGAACUUUGAAGGCCGAAGAGGGGAAAGGUUCCAUGUGAAGGCACUUGCACAUGGGUUAUUCGAUCGUAAGAGAUGAAGGAAGCCUGUCCGAUAACGCGUUUAGCGAGAGCUUUGAAAGGGAAUCAGAUUAAAAUUUCUGAACUGGGACGUGGCAGUUGACGAUAACGUUAGGAAGUCCGGAGACGUCGGCGGGGGCCUUGCGAAGAGUUAUCUUUUCUGUUUAACAACUUGCCCACCCUGGAAUCGGCUCAGCCGGAGGUAGGGUCCAGCGGAUGGAAAAGCACCGCACGUUUUAUGGUGUCCGGUGCGCCCCCGGCUGCCCUUGAAAAUCCAGAGGACCGAGUGCCGACCAUGUGCGAUCGUACUCAUAACCGCAUCAGGUCUCCAAGGUGAACAACCUCUGCUCGAUGGCACAAUGUAGGCAAGGGAAGUCGGCAAAAUGGAUCUGUUACUUCGUGAAAAGGAUUGACUCUGAGGGCUGGGCACGGGGUCCCAGUCCCGAACCCGUCGGCAGUCGGCGGAUUGCUCGAGCUGCUUCCGUGGCGAGAGCGGGUUGCCACGUGCUGGCCGGGGGACGGACUGGGAACGUUCCCUUCAGGGGCCUUCCUCGGGCGUCGAACAGUCAACUCAGAACUGGUAUGCACAAGGGGAGUCCGACUGUUUAAUGAAAACAAAGCAUUGCGAUGGUGCGAAUGUUAACGCAAUGUGAUUUCUGCCUAGUGCUCUGAAUGUCAAAGUGAAGAAAUUCAACCAAGCGCGGGUAAACAGCGGGAGUCACUAUGACUCUCUUAAGGUAGCCAAUUGCCUCGUCAUCUAAUUAGUGAUGCGCAUGAAUGGAUUAACGAGAUUCCCACUGUCCCUGUUUACUAUCUAGCGAAACCACAUCCAAGGGAACGAGCUUUGCAGAAUCAGCGGGUUAAGAAGACCCUGUUGAGCUUGACUCUAGUCCGACUUUGUGAAAUGACUUGAGAGGUGUAGGAAAAGUGGGAGCUUCGGCACAAGUGAAAUACUACUACUUUUAACGUUAUUUUACUUACUCCGUGAGUCGGAAGAGGGGCAAUGCCCCUCCUUUUAGACCUAAGGUCCGCUUGCAGGCUGAUCCGGGCGGAGGACAUUGUCAGGUUAGGAGUUUGAAUGGGGCGACACAUCUGUUAAAAGAUAACGCAGGUGCCCUAAGAUGAGAUUAACGAGAACAAAAAUCUCGUGUGGAACAGAAGGGUAAAAGCUCGUUUGAUUCUGAUUUUCAGUACGAAUACGAACCUUGAAAGCGUGGCCUAACGAUCCUUUAGACCUAUUGAAUUUAAAGCUAGAGGUGUCAGAAAAGUUACCUCAAGGAUAACUUGCUUAUGGCAGCCAAGCGUUCAUAGCGACGUUGCUUUUUAAUCCUUUGAUGUCGGCUAUUCCUAUCAUUGUGAAGCAGAAUUCACCAAGUGUUGGAUUGUUCACCCACCAAUAGGGAACGUGAGCUGGGUUUAGACCGUCAUGAGACAGGUUAGUUUUACCAAACUGAUGACAGUGUCGCAGUGGUAAUUCAAUUUUGUACGAGAGGAAUCGUUGAUUCACACAAUUGGUCAUCGCGCUUUAUUGAAAAGCUAGUGGCGCGAAGCUACCGUGUGCUGGAUUAUGAUUGAAUGCCUCCAAGUCAGAAUCCGGGCAAGAAGCGACGCAUGCGCCCGCCGCCCGAUUGCCUACAGUAGGGGCUUCGGCACCCAAGGGCACGUGUCGUAGGCUAAGCUCGCACGGUGGAUGCGCCGUGAGAGUAGCCUUGAAGUACAAUUUCUACCGAGCGGGGGGUUGAAUCCUUUGUAGACGAAUUAAAUACGUGAUGAGGUAUUGUAAUUGGCAGAGUGACCUUGCUACCAUGAUUCACUAAGAUUCAACCCUAUGU
rnacentral:rRNA from 1 species